UUUAUUAAGAAUUGUGGAGGGACUGGCCCUAAGAAAUCUAGCAACCUACUGUAUAUGUGUGGUGCUAAAUCUUGUAAAUAUUUGAGAAAUAA
rnacentral:ncRNA from 1 species